GUGCGAUCCGAAAGUCGUGAUUUUGUGAUGGUUAAAUUCCAUCUUCCCUAGAUAUCGGGGAUAAUGUGUAUCUCACAUUUUAGAGAUUGGCAACCUCUAAGGUGCAAGCAUGAGAUAGAAGCGGGUAAUGCUAAACCUUAUGGCAAAUUCCUGCAAACAGAGUUAGAUAUGAUUACGAGAGAAACCUAUGUCUGAAUUGUCGUAAGGUUUAAUAUGCGAAAUAAGGUUGAAAACGCAUUGACCAAAAUGGUACGAAGCAAAAGAGGAGUCAAAGUUUUAGUUUCUUUGAUUAUGGAUAUUCUCAGCUUCCGGCAAAUAGUAGGAAUCUAAGUCUAACGUGAAACAAAGUCAUGGAACGGAGUAACCACAUGGAAGCUCUUAUUAUUCUUUGUUUAAGAAGGAUAACUAAGAAGGUGGCCAACUGAAUGCUUCUAUGUGGAGGGAUUGUUUAAGAAGCAAAUGCUCAAAGUAACACUUGGGAUAUGCAGACGUGGACACUGUAGUUUGGAAGGUAAAGUUAUGAGUAGUAGUGAAUAUGUUAUGAGCCAACAAAAAGUUAGGUAUAAAUGGAACGAAAUUCCUUGGCGUAAGCUGGAGAAAUCUUCAUUUAAGCUACAAAAACGAAUUUACCGAGCUUCUAAGUGUAAUGAUAUCAAAAAGAUGCAUAAGCUUCAGAGAUUAUUACUCAAAUCAACAAGUGCAAGAACACUCGCUGUCAGAAAGGUGACUCAGGAUAACAGGGGAAAAAAGACAGCAGGCAUUGACGGAAAAGCUAGUCUUAAUCAAAAAGAAAGAUUGCAAUUAGCAAACUCUUUGGAUAUAAGAAAAAAAGCAAAACCAUCAAGACGUGUCUGGGUCCCAAAAUCUGGAAAACCACUGGAGUAUCGCCCCCUUGGUAUACCCACGAUAGCAGAUCGAGCAAAACAAACACUUGUCAAAAUGGCACUAGAACCGGAGUGGGAGGGAAAGUUCGAGUCAAACACUUUUGGUUUUAGACCUGGUAGGUCAUGUCAUGAUGCAAUAGCGGCUAUAUUUAUUUCACUUGGAAGGAAAACAGCAUUUAUUCUGGAUGCUGAUAUUUCUGGAUGCUUUGAUAAUAUUAACCAUCACGCAUUGCUAGAAAAACUCAAUACCACACCAACUUUAAAGAGAAUUAUAAAAGGAUGGUUGAGAGCAGGCGUUAUGGAAGAUAGAAAGUUUAAACCUACUAAAUGUGGUAUAAUUCAAGGAGGAACAAUUUCUCCUUUACUUGCUUGUAUUGCAUUACAUGGAUUAGAAAGUCAUAUUAAAAAAGCAUUAGUAUGUGAACUUUUUCAAUACGCCAAAAGGAAAUAUGGUAGCAAGGCAUCACGUACAGUAGCACAACAAUCAAUAAGUGUAAUUGCUUACGCCGAUGAUUUUGCGGUCCUACAUGAAAGUAAAGAAAUCAUUCUUAAGGCAAGGAUAAUAGUCGAGGAAUGGCUAAAAACCAUUGGACUAGGAUUAAAAAUGUCAAAGACAAAGAUUUCUCACACUUUAAAUGGAGAAGAACCAGGAUUCAAUUUUCUUGGAUUUUCUAUAAGACAUUAUCCAACAAGAAGUAGUAAGAAAGGUUACAAGUUAUUAAUGAAACCAAGUCAAGAAUCUAUAAAACAGCAUAAAUUCACUAUUAAACAUAAGCUUAAAGGAUUACGUGGAGCAACGCAAGAAGCAGUAAUAAAAGAACUUAAUCCUAUAGUUAGAGGGUGGAGUCAAUAUUAUAUGUUAGUAGUUUCUAGGAAAACCUUUGAAUUAAUGAGUGAUAUAGUGCAUAGAAACCUUUGGAAAUGGGCAGUCCGUAGACAUCCAAACAAAGGUAAAUGCUGGAUUAAGAGGAAAUACUUUAAUAAGUAUAAAAAUGACAACUGGAGAUUUAUGGCAAGUAACAAGAUUCAUCUUAUUAGACACAGCGAUCAUGCUAUCAAACGGCAUGUCAAAGUGAAAGGAACUAAAUCGCCAUAUGAUGGGGAUUGGAUCUAUUGGGGUAAUCGUUUAAGGAAGAUUCCAGAUAAGCCACCAAGGGUAACAAAAUUAAUGAAGUUGCAACAAGGUAAAUGUGCUCAAUGUCAACUUUGGUUUAAAAGUGAUGACGUCCUAGAGAUACACCAUAAAGACCUUAAUAGACGCAAUAAUAUGAGCAAAAAUUUAUCCUUGCUGCAUGGACAUUGUCAUGAUGAAGUACAUAGGAGGUGUGCAUGAAAAGCACCAAAUUAGAGAGAAGCCGGAUGAUGGGUAAACUAUCAAGUCCGGUUUUGAAGUCGAGUGAAGAAGGGCAACCUUCUCACUUAGAUAAC
rnacentral:autocatalytically_spliced_intron from 1 species